UGAAAACUCGAUUUUCACCAAUUCAACUUCAGUAUGUUACAAAACACGAGCUUACAAGUGUUUAGAAGGAAGAAUCACUCAGUUUAGAGCACUCUAGCAUGGGUUACAGGCUGAAAUGGACAGAGUUUUCUCUAUUUUUUCCAUUUUUUUUCAAAUGAGCUGCCAAGAGCUCAUAUUUAAAGACCAGAUGGCCGCGGGUCAAUCCGCGGCAGUUGUGGGUCUACCUGCGGCUGCCCGGGCUUCCUUGGACCCUUCAGGUCAUAUCGUCUCAAAGUACGCGUUGUCCGCUCGAACCUUCAUAACUUUUAAUCCGGGCAUCCGAUAACGGAGUGCUAUAACUUUUUGGAAUGCUGUUGUCGAGAGCUACACAAUGACAUGGGAUUAGAGGUUAUAUGAAGACAGAAGGAUGAGUUCAUGCCCAGAUCUCCAAGUUUUCAAAGUCUAUCCAUUAUACUGUCUUGUGUAGUUGUUACUCGGAGUUUGAGCUAUGGUUCUUGUGGGACACCUUGAUAUGCAGUGUGGAUUGAAUUGUGUUGAGAUGAAGUGAAUGUGAUGUUGAGGUGGAAAAAUGAUGAUUUUUCCCCCACCAGGGUUAUCUUCGGCUUUUGCGUAGAUGUAACAGUCGUUUCUCAGGGUUAUCUUUGAGAUUGGGCUGUUGUGGAUGCUGAAUGUCCUCGGGGUUAUCUUCGAGGUUGGCUUGACCUCUCGGGGUUAUCUCUGGGGUUGAAAUUGUAUCUCCCGGAGUUAUCUUCAGGGUUAAAACUGGGGUUAUCUCCAAAACUUGGACUGCAUCCCUCGAGGUUAUCUCUGAGGUUGGAACUGCAUCUCUCGAUUGAAACUGAGUCUCUUGGGGUUAUCUCCGAGAUUGAGAAUUGGCUCUCCCAGGAUUGUCUCUGGGGUUUGAACUGAUGUGACUUCCAGGGUUAUCUCUGAAAGACGAUUCUUCCCUCCUACAGUGUUAGUAACAUGAAUGCAAAAUUUUGAGUGUCUACAACAUACUCGCACUUCAGGUCUAGGCAUUGCAUUAUGUAGCUUUCCUAACUUACUUGAACACUUCAAAGCCAUAUGAUGGGAAAGUCUAGUUGUAUUCUCUGAUAGACACAUAUAUCCUGGUCUUUUACUAAGUAUUAGUACAUGAAUUCAUGGUAAAAAAUUUAUCAUUGAUGAAACUCUUCUCAUUCAUGCAUUAAAUCUUCAUCCAUCUGUGCUGGAACGGCCUAGGAUAAAUGAAUAUGUGCAUCCUUUGGGAACAACAAUGAGUGAUUGUCUUGCUUUUAAACAAAAUCUAUCUUUUACAACUGAUCAACUCAUCCUUGCACUCUCAUUUGAUUUUCCUGUCAAUGUUGGUCUAGAAUUCCUAACUGCCGAGUGCCAAUUCCUUGGAAAAAUUCUUAGACAAAAUCUUAUGCCAGUUAGAGAAACUAGAACACUGCAUCCUUUUUGAUUUGGAAAUCAUAAAGUGUAUCAUCAAUGAGUUCUUACCAUACAUUCUUGCAUACAUCUUGUUAUCCUCUUUUGAACACUAUUUUAAUCAAAAUUGUCUUGGCUUUAGACUUCUUCUAACUUGUGUUCUCAAACCUUGUCUCCCGUUUAAAUCUUCCUCAUAGACCACUCAUAGUUUUCAAGGCUCCUGAUCAUGAACCCAUUGAGUCAAACCUGAAUAUGAUAUCUCAACUGGAUGGCAUUAAUAACAUGAAUCAGUUAUUGUUACUUAAUUAGAAUAAAUUAUUGAUUCAAAUGGAAGCAAUGCAACAAUCUGUGCAUUAUUUUAAGAACAUGCUGCAUUCUUUUUUGGAAAGGUUUUCUUUGCAUUCUUGCCAUUUCAUUACACGUACUAGCUCUACCAAACUGGAGUCCUUGCUUAGUGAUCCUCUUCCUGGUAUUUCUCUUGAUGAUCCUCUUCCCAAUCUUAGUCUUCACUUCUCUCCUCUCAAUGAAGAAGAUUACUAUUUAUUUGGGAAGAUUGUAAUAUAUUUAUAUCUGCCACUAACUAUUUGGAAGUAAUGUAACUAACUUAAAUACUAACCUAGUACUAUGUCAACUUUAUCUUUUUACCACUAUCCAGGUACUAUCUAUGAUUAUUUAAAAAAUUGCAGGAACCGAGCUUUUCUUUAGAAUACCAACAUUUUUU
rnacentral:lncRNA from 1 species